rnacentral:rRNA from 1 species
UACGUAGGGUGCAAGCGUUGUCCGGAAUUAUUGGGCGUAAAGGGCUCGUAGGCGGUUUGUCGCGUCGGGAGUGAAAAUCCAGGGCUUAACUCUGGACUGGCUUCCGAUACGGGCAGACUAGAGGUAUGCAGGGGAGAACGGAAUUCCUGGUGUAGCGGUGGAAUGCGCAGAUAUCAGGAGGAACACCGGUGGCGAAGGCGGUUCUCUGGGCAUUACCUGACGCUGAGGAGCGAAAGUGUGGGGAGCGAACAGG